rnacentral:rRNA from 1 species
AACGUAGGACGCAAGCGUUAUCCGGAGUUACUGGGCGUAAAGCGCGGGCAGGCGGUCUUGCCAGUCUGAUGUGAAAUCUCCCCGCUCAACGGGGAGCAGCCAUUGGAAACUACAAGACUGGAGUCUGACAGAGGUAGGCGGAAUUCCCGGUGUAGCGGUGAAAUGCGCAGAUAUCGGGAAGAACACCGGUGGCGAAGGCGGCUCUCUGGGCCUGUCCUGACGCUCAGGCGCGAAAGCUAGGGGAGCGAACAGG